rnacentral:rRNA from 1 species
UACAGAGGGGGCAAGCGUUGUUCGGAAUUACUGGGCGUAAAGGGCGCGUAGGCGGCCUGUUAAGUCGAACGUGAAAUCCCCGGGCUCAACCCGGGAACUGCGUCCGAUACUGGCAGGCUUGAAUUCGGGAGAGGGAUGCGGAAUUCCAGGUGUAGCGGUGAAAUGCGUAGAUAUCUGGAGGAAUACCGGUGGCGAAGGCGGCAUCCUGGACCGACAUUGACGCUGAGGAGCGAAAGCUAGGGGGGCAAACGGG